rnacentral:rRNA from 1 species
AACGAACGCUGGCGGCAUGCCUAACACAUGCAAGUCGAACGGGAUCCUAGCUUGCUAGGUGAGAGUGGCGGACGGGUGAGUAACACGUGGGAAUCUGCCUUUUGGUUCGGGAUAACCGCGGGAAACUGCGGCUAAUACCGAAUGCCCUCGAGAGAGGAAAGAUUUAUCGCCAGAAGAGGAGCCCGCGUCCGAUUAGGUAGUUGGUGGGGUAAAGGCCUACCAAGCCGACGAUCGGUAGCUGGUCUGAGAGGAUGAUCAGCCACACUGGGACUGAGAUACGGCCCAGACUCCUACGGGAGGCAGCAGUGGGGAAUAUUGGACAAUGGGGGCAACCCUGAUCCAGCAAUGCCGCGUGAGUGAUGAAGGCCUUAGGGUUGUAAAGCUCUUUUGCCGGGGACGAUGAUGACGGUACCCGGAGAAUAAGCCCCGGCUAACUUCGUGCCAGCAGCCGCGGUAAU